GCCCUGGUAGCCCAGCGGUAGAGGCACGGUGCUCAAACCACCGACAGCGUGGGUUCGAAUCCCACCCAGGGCAC
rnacentral:tRNA from 1 species